rnacentral:ncRNA from 1 species
CCGCGGCACUCCAUUUGGGCGGUCACCACGCAAAUGCCCCGGCGUACAGAAAGAAAGGAGCACAUCCCGCGUGCCGGCGGUGCGUCAGUGUGGAGACCUGGCGUAAUGCCGCCCGUUCCCUGCGGACGGCGGCGAGGCGCGCCCUUGCGGAGGCAGGCGCGUUACGGCAUAUUUAUGGCA